rnacentral:rRNA from 1 species
AUAGACCCGAAGCGAAGUGAUCUACCCAUGGCCAAGGCGAAUCCGCCGUAACAGGCGGAGGAGGCCUGAACUGAUGUUUGUUGCAAAAAGCUCGGAUGAGCUGUGGGUAGGGGUGAAAGGCUAAACAAACUUCGUAAUUGCUGGUUCUCCCCGAAAUGUCUAGAGGGACAGCCUCGUGUCAGCCGUAACGGAGGUAGAGCACUGAAUGGGCUAGGGGCGUUCCAACGCUACUGAACCCAAUCAAACUCCGAAUGCCGUUACUGGACGCACGGGAGUGAGACUACGAGUGCUAAGAUCCGUGGUCGAGAGGGAAAUAGCCCAGACCGUCAGCUAAGGUCCCUAAGCGCAAGCUAAGUGGGAAAGGUUGUAACGUCGCUCAGACAGCCAGGAGGUUGGCUUAGAAGCAGCCAUCCUUUAAAGAGUGCGUAAUAGCUCACUGGUCGAGCGAUGGUGCGCCGAAAAUUUAACGGGGCUCAAGUUUGCCACCGAAGCUACGGACUUUUCUCGAAAGAGAUGAGUGGUAGGGGAGCAUUCUCUGUGCAGUGAAGGUUGACCGACAAGGACAGCUGGAGCGCAGAGAAGAGAUUAUGCAGGCAUAAGUAGCGAUAAUUGAUGUGAGAAUCAUCAACCCCGUAAACCUAAGGUUUCCUGGCCUAUGUUCGUCAGGUCAGGGUGAGUCGGAUCCUAAGCCGAGGCCGAUAGGCGUAGGCGAUGGUAAACAGGUCAAUAUUCCUGUACCACAGUGAUGGCGUUAUCAGCGAAGGGGGGGUGCAGAAGGGUAGGCACCGCCGGGUCCCUGGAAUACCCGGUCUAAGCGUGUAGGCGGGUCUUGUUGGCAAAUCCGCAAGGCCGUUACCGCCGAGACGUGAUGGGGAGGCCGCAAGGCCAUAAACGGGCUGAUCCCAUGCUGCCGAGAAAAGCCUCGUAGCGAGUCAUCAUUGUGUCCGUACCGCAAACCGACACAGGUAGGUAGGUGGAAUACACCAAGGGGCGUGAGAGAACACUUCCUAAGGAACUUUGCAAUUUAGCCCCGUAACUUCGGGAGAAGGGGUGCCACGCGUAGGUGAGUCUGUACAAGGUAAGCCGAACGUGGUUGCAAUAAAGUGGCUCUAGCGACUGUUUACCAAAAACACAGGACUCUGCGAACACGCAAGUGGACGUAUAGGGUCUGACGCCUGCCCGGUGCUGGAAGGUUAACCGGAGGAGUUAGCCGCAAGGC